rnacentral:tRNA from 1 species
GGGCCUGUAGUUUAGUAUGGAGAGAAUGCAAGGCUUCGGACCUUGAGACCGGGGUUCAAAUCCUCGCAGGCCCA